GCGUCCAGGAAGGAAGUGACAGAAGACGAAUGGGAAAAGGAGAACAGCUCACAGCGUUUGAAACAUCGCGGCACCACUUUCAGAUAAAAACAUAGACCUGAAUGGCAUCAUCCAGUAUCCAAGGAAACCAUGCAGUUUUGAACAUCUGGAGGCCUGAUUUAUUGGAGAUUGCAAAUGUACAGUGUAACAUAGCUGUGGAGAGCGAGAAGAUCAGGAUUGUCAAUGCUGUCAUUGCUUUUACUGGAAUCCCCAGCACGAAUUGAAGGUUUGACCAGAGACAAAGAAGCAAAUGCUAUCAAUUAACAUUCACAUGUGGUAGGAAUUCUACUAGUGCAUGUGGAGAGAAACAUGGCUGCUGCAUGGAGUCAUAAACCUCAGAGGAAGCUGAGAAUGAGAUGAAAUGUAUAUGUAACCCUUGUGUAUGGCAAGUUUGGCAAGAAAGAAAAAGCAUACUUGGCAGAUUAAGAUAAGGUUUCUCUCUGUUUACUGAUAUAGUCUCAGGUUUGCAUUGUGUGAUGAAUAAUAGGUUGGGGGAAGAUAUCCUUUGUUUAUUCAUUCAUUUCAUCAACAAAUAUUUAAUGAGUACCUACUAUAUGCCAUGCCACAAAGAGUAUAAACCUAGAGACAGAAUGUUGAGUCACAUAGACAGUGCUCCUGAUACAAUUAUUUGAACUGAGUUAACAAUACUUCAAGGUUCCAUGUCUAAUUUACUGGCUAGGUUCUCAACAAAAUUUCUGGAUA
rnacentral:lncRNA from 1 species